GACGAACGCUGGCGGCGUGCUUAACACAUGCAAGUCGAACGGAAAGGCCCUGCUUUUGUGGGGUGCUCGAGUGGCGAACGGGUGAGUAACACGUGAGUAACCUGCCCUUGACUUUGGGAUAACUUCAGGAAACUGGGGCUAAUACCGGAUAGGAUCUCCUGCUGCAUGGUGGGGGUUGGAAAGUUUCGGCGGUUGGGGAUGGACUCGCGGCUUAUCAGCUUGUUGGUGGGGUAGUGGCUUACCAAGGCUUUGACGGGUAGCCGGCCUGAGAGGGUGACCGGCCACAUUGGGACUGAGAGACGGCCCAGACGCCUACGGGAGGCAGCAGUGGGGAAUAUUGCACAAUGGGCGGAAGCCUGAUGCAGCAACGCCGCGUGCGGGAUGACGGCCUUCGGGUUGUAAACCGCUUUCGCCUGUGACGAAGCGUGAGUGACGGUAAUGGGUAAAGAAGCACCGGCUAACUACGUG
rnacentral:rRNA from 1 species